UACGAAGGGGGCAAGCGUUGUUCGGAAUUACUGGGCGUAAAGGGCGCGUAGGCGGUGCGUUAAGUUAGGCGUGAAAGCCCUGGGCUCAACCCGGGAACUGCGCUUGAUACUGGCGCGCUUGAAUCCAGGAGAGGUUGGUGGAAUUCCCAGUGUAGAGGUGAAAUUCGUAGAUAUUCGGAAGAACACCAGUGGCGAAGGCGGCUCACUGGCCCGUUACCGACGCUCAGGCGCGACAGCGUGGGGAGCAAACAGG
rnacentral:rRNA from 1 species